AACAGGAUUAGAUACCCUGGUAGUCCAUGCCGUAAACGUUGGGCACUAGGUGUGGGGGACAUUCCACGUUUUCCGCGCCGCAGCUAACGCAUUAAGUGCCCCGCCUGGGGAGUACGGCCGCAAGGCUAAAACUCAAAGGAAUUGACGGGGGCCCGCACAAGCGGCGGAGCAUGCGGAUUAAUUCGAUGCAACGCGAAGAACCUUACCAAGGCUUGACAUGUUCCCGACCGGGCCAGAGAUGGUCUUUCCCCUUUGGGGCGGGUUCACAGGUGGUGCAUGGUUGUCGUCAGCUCGUGUCGUGAGAUGUUGGGUUAAGUCCCGCAACGAGCGCAACCCUCGUUCCAUGUUGCCAGCGGGUUAUGCCGGGGACUCAUGGGAGACUGCCGGGGUCAACUCGGAGGAAGGUGGGGACGACGUCAAAUCAUCAUGCCCCUUAUGUCUUGGGCUUCACGCAUGCUACAAUGGCCGGUACAAUGGGUUGCGAUACUGUGAGGUGGAGCUAAUCCCAAAAAGCCGGUCCCAGUUCGGAUUGGGGUCUGCAACUCGACCCCAUGAAGUCGGAGUCGCUAGUAAUCGCAGAUCAGCAACGCUGCGGUGAAUACGUUCCCGGGCCUUGUACACACCGCCCGUCAAGUCACGAAAGUCGGUAACACCCGAAGCCGGUGGCCCAACCCUUGUGGGGGGAGCCGUCGAAGGUGGGACUGGCGAUUGGGACUAAGUCGUAACAAGGUAACC
rnacentral:rRNA from 1 species